GACGAACGCUGGCGGCGUGCUUAACACAUGCAAGUCGAACGGAAAGGCCUUUUCGGUGGUACUCGAGUGGCGAACGGGUGCGUAACACGUGGGCGAUCUGCCCUGCACUCUGGGACAAGCCUGGGAAACUGGGUCCAAUACCGGAUAGGACCGCACUAUAGUGUGUGUGGUGGAAAGAGUUUUCGGUGUAGGGUGAGCCCGCGGCCUAUCAGCCUGUUGGUGGGGUAAUGGCCUACCGAGGCGGCGAGGGGUAGCCGGACUGAGGGGUUGGUCGGCCACAUUGAGACUGAGGGACGGCCGCGGCUGCUACGGGAGGCAGCAGGGGGGAAUAUUGCACAAGGGGCGCAAGCCUGGUGCAGAGGCGCCGCGUGGGGGAUGACGGCGUUCGGGUUGUAAACUCCUUUCGCCAGGGACGAAGCGUGUUGUGACGGUACCUGGAGAGGAAGCACCGGCUAACUACGUG
rnacentral:rRNA from 1 species